GAUGAACGCUGGCGGCGUGCCUAAUACAUGCAAGUCGAGCGAACAGACGAGGAGCUUGCUCCUCUGACGUUAGCGGCGGACGGGUGAGUAACACGUGGAUAACCUACCUAUAAGACUGGGAUAACUUCGGGAAACCGGAGCUAAUACCGGAUAAUAUAUUGAACCGCAUGGUUCAAUAGUGAAAGACGGUUUUGCUGUCACUUAUAGAUGGAUCCGCGCCGCAUUAGCUAGUUGGUAAGGUAACGGCUUACCAAGGCGACGAUGCGUAGCCGACCUGAGAGGGUGAUCGGCCACACUGGAACUGAGACACGGUCCAGACUCCUACGGUAGGCAGCAGUAGGGAAUCUUCCGCAAUGGGCGAAAGCCUGACGGAGCAACGCCGCGUGAGUGAUGAAGGUCUUCGGAUCGUAAAACUCUGUUAUUAGGGAAGAACAAAUGUGUAAGUAACUAUGCACGUCUUGACGGUACCUAAUCAGAAAGCCACGGCUAACUACGUG
rnacentral:rRNA from 1 species